GGAGGGCAGGAAGAAGGUGCCAGAGCAACUCUGGGAGUCGAGAGCUACAGAGACGCCAGGCAUGGAAGGUGCACGAAGCCUCCUAUAACUUGAGCAUUUCUUACUUUUUGUGUGCACUUCAAUUUACAAAAUUCAGUGUCAAGAGAGCCCAGAGAUAAGAGCAAUUCUGCAUGGGUGCACUAUGCUUUUAUGUAAGUAUCAUCCUUGAGAUUGCACAUCUCUGCUCCCCAAAUCCCAUGUGUUCACUCUCCAUGAACUUCAGCUGCCACCAGGAGGAGCUGUUGGGUGGGGAAGCUGCAUGGCAUGUGGUGAAGUGCCCAGCCACUGCUGCAUGCAGGCCUGUCCCUUCCCACUGGCCUAGCUCUUGCUUCCCUGAACAUGGAAUUAUGGAGAUGAAGCCAUAGAACACUCUGGAUUUUCCAGUGCCUUGCCAGAGAUGUGUAUUCUCCAACAGCUGCAACCCACCCUCCCCACACUCUCCAGGGAGGGCCUGAAGACUGAAAAGGAUUCCUUCCUGCCAAAGCGACCAACUCAAAGUGUAUCAAAUAUACACUGGCUCAAGGGGAGAGUUUCUGUCUAUACUAUGCCAAGGGAAGCAAGUCCCCAUCUACAUUGGCUUAAGGCAAGUUUGUCCCCAUCUACACUGGCUUAAGGUGAGCAAGUACAUACAGUGAGCAGUAGAGGGAGGCACAGUGGUUUAGGCUGCUGAGCUCCAGCCCUUGCCCUGGUGCCAAUUUCCAAAAAGAAAAAAAGACUGCCUUUUUAAAAUAUUUGAAACUUCAAUUUUAUUAUACAAUUUGUGGAAAAAAUAAAUUAAGAAUAAAUUUCCUACAAAGCAUGGAAGAAAGAGCAGGAUGGGCAGGGUCAGGGGUUGAGGGCAUGGGAGUGUUCUAGGGAAUGUCUCUAUGAUGUGUUUUGCAGGUGGGGGCUGAGGAGACUCCUCGUGGAUGCAGAUGUGCUCCUGCCUGGAUUCUGUGCAAAGAAGCUUGAGCCAGUCAGCACACCUCACUCCUGCACCAUGAUGUCAUCAUCCACAGAGCUCAGGGUCUUCUGGCUGGCUGUCGGUUCUGUCAAUGUGGGCAUGGCAUUUCCAUUGGAGCCUCUCUGUUCCUGGACACUGGCCGAGGGAAGCAUGGUAUACAGCAGAGUUUUUGCAUGCAUUUGGUGAUGUUCCUCCUUAGUCUCUUCCAACCCUUGCUUCUGUAGUGGGAUUGCCCUGUGGAGGUACCUUAGGAAGAUGAGCUCUCCUGGGCUCAGGAUUAUGCAGGGAAGUUAGGCUGUGAGGGCGUGUGUCCCUGUUGAGGAAGCUGAGAGGAAUAACAGGCAUGCUGGCAAUUCCAGCAGCCUUCUGCAAGGACUGCUUGGCUGCCUCAUGCUGCAGCUACUCGUGGGGCAAGGGAAGAGCAGGCUUACUAGAAUACUUCCAGGGCAGAGCCAGGGAGGAUAUGCGGGGCCCAGGUGAUGCACAGGCUUCACCUGGAACCCAAAGCCUGCCCCUGGGUUCUCUGGUGCUCCAGUAUGAGGUACGUGGCCAUCAUGUUGUCCUUGAAUCUUCAACGUGGUACGGACACUCAGGUACUAUAGGGAUGGUAACCCAUGUCCACCAUGAUUUUCAAAAUUGUGGGAUCUGGGAGUUAGAAGAGUGCCUCACUCGAAGGACUGGGUGUGAAGCUUCCUCUCCCUGGCUCAGCCAUGGGUACUCCAUUAUCUGCUCUAAGUUGGGCCUCUGUGUGGGGUUCACCGUCAAGAUCUCAUUGAUGAGGCUCUGUGCUCCCUCAGAAACAUGUGGGGGAAUGUCAUACAUUCCCUACGUGAUCAGCUUCUUCAGCUGCUUAUUGCUGGUUGCCACAAAUGGGCAUCUCCCUGUGAGCAUAAAAUAGAGAAUGACUUCCAGGCUCCAGAUUUCUGGGGCGUGGGGGGAGGCAUUGAAUUCCUUCCAAUGGACAACUUUAGAGGCAACUUAGAGGAGAGUACCCCAGAACCUGUUCAGCUUCUUCCCAGCUGUGAAUCUUGUGCUCAGGCCAAAGUCGAUGAGUUUGACGUUGCUGCUGGCAUCCACCACCACGUUCUCUGGCUUCAAAUCAAGGUGCAUGAUACCCAUCUUGUGGCAGUACUGCACCACAUGCACGAUCCACCUGAACAGUCUGUGGGCUCCUCCUUCCGCAUGACAUCAGGUUCCUGGAUGAGGUCCCAUAGCUGUCCCCCCUCUGCAUGUUCCAUGAUAAGGUAGAUAUAUUCGAUGGUCUCAAUGACCUAGAAGAGCUGGAUCAUGUUCUGGUGGUCCAAGGCUGCCAUCAUCACCAGUUCAGAAAGAAAGGGGAAGUUCCAGACCUCUUUUGCCAAAACCUUCAACCACAACCUCUAUCACCUGGGCAAAGCCUCCCUCCUCAAUGUCCUGCAGGACCAUAUAAUGGUCCGUGAGGUGGGCUCAUAGCAGGAGCCUUGCCCCUAAGGCACUACACUGCUCUGACUACGCUCUCUAUGAAUCUUAAGCUGGAAUGAGGAUGCUAGCUAAAAUAAUAAUAAUAAUAAACCAAAACAAAAAAACAAAAAGCAAAAGCAAAAAAAUAUAUAUAUAUUUUAAAAACCCAAAUCAAAAACCAAUAUCCAAAGACCACAACCACCAGCCACCAACCACCACCAAAUGGGCUAACUAUCUGGGAGUCUGACAGGUCACCACCAAGAGCUUCCUGUACUUAUAGACAAAAGACCCAGCUGCAGCUACCCUCUUAAAUAACUACUGUUUGAAAUUCCCUCACAAUGGCUCCUUCUGAGCUCAAAGCACGAAAUGACCCAGUCAACCCUGGGCAUGACUCUCAGUGGUCAUCUCACUUUGGGGCUUCUAAGAACUUUUCCACUUUCAUGACAAGAAGAAAAAACUCUGGAAGAUUUUUUGCUUUAGUACAUUAUGGUGACCCAUAUUUACUUGUUUAGAAAUUAAAAUUUGUAGGAUACUUCAGCAGUCUUCUCAUUUCAAGUCUGAAAAUCCGUAAUAUCUUUGUGGCUUUGAAAAACCUCAUCAUAGCUACACUCAAGGUUUCUGCUUCUUUGCUGCCCUGAACUGAACAGUUUUCCUCCCCUGGGCCCUUGCCCCAUGAUAGACUGACUGCCUCACCUUGGGCAGAGCAGUAGAGUCAGCUAUCUAUGAACUGAG
rnacentral:lncRNA from 1 species